CUGGUGAGCUGCUGAGCUGCUGAGCUGGUGACCUGGAAUUCGCCAAAAGGGCAAAAAAGGAAAAUAACUCGACUGCGUAACAAAAUCCCGAUGAACGAAGCUCAAAUGCCCUGGAGUGUGACAU